CCCCUUCGUUUGCUUUUUGUUCACAUUUUGGUUUUGGGUGCAGUCACUUAUUGGUGCUUCUGUAGUCUAAGCUAGAUUUCGAACAUAACCCCAUGCCCUGUGAUAUGGCAGGUGGAUCUAUACGAUCAUGUUGGAUGAGUUUGUAGUUGCAGAAUAUUUUGUUUCUUUUUCAUCCUUUUGGCAAAGUUAACCAAGUGUAAAGUGGUUCAACAACCAUGUUGAGUAAAAUGUGCAUGUGCACAAGUGCUGUUCAGACAGCCAAUUUACCUGCACAUGGGUAUGCAGUCUAGUUAGGUCAUGUGAACAGAUGUUGUAUGGACAUAAUCAGUCCACAUGUCUUCUUAUCUUUUAAGGUUUAAUAGUGACCCAGUAAUUAGAAAUAAAUGUAACCAAUCAAUUAAAAGAAAAACGUGUUAAUGGAAAAUAGAAGAGGAAGAGAGGAGCUACUGCCCCCAUAAACUGUUGUGCAACUGAAAUCAAAUAUUGAGUAGAAUCUAUUCAUGAUCAGGUUUUUAUUUCUAUGUUUUAUUAUCUAGGGUUUUGAUUCUCUUACCCUAUGGAAUAGAAUCUAUCAAUUUCCUUAAAAUCUCUUCUUCUUUUUUGUUUGUUUGAAUAUUCGAUAUGGAUGAGAUGAUCUUUGAAGGAAAAUCAAAACCUGGGUUUUGGAUUUUGAUGUUCAAAUGUGGUUCCUUUUUGAGUAAUUGGUAGGAGGAUUGAUGAUUUUUGUGACAAGUGAUUGGUAAAAGAAUUGGGGUUGUUGAUUUAAGAAUCUAUUAUCUAGUUAAUUGAGAUUAGAGUAGAAUAAUGUACUCUUUGGGGAAGAUUAUGUGUCGAUAUCAUCGACUGGAGCUGCUACAUAUGUUAAUUUAAUUCCAGCAGGCUCCGGUUGGCUGUGUUCUUAUUAGUGGCUCUUUUACAAGGUGAUUUGUGUCUUAUCUUUGCAUGUUCCUAAUUUUGGGAUGUUAUGGGUGUCCCAUUUCUGAACAUUUUUGGUGUUAUACAAUUUGGAUUUUUUGUAAUGUACGUUGUGUAUGUA